GUGGGUGUGGGUGUGUUUGUUGUUGUUUCGCUUUUCUUUGUUCGCCUCUGUUUCAGUUUCCUUGCAAACAACGAAAAGGAAGUGAAAGAGGUCGCUUCGAACACUGUGGUCUGCCCCAUAUCUUGGAUGUGUGCUCCCUUGCCUUUCUUUCCUGUUAGCAUACUUUGCCAUCACCACUGGCAUCACCGCUUACCUCACGUGCUUCUUGUGGAACUCUAUAUGUCGCAUGUUUGUGCGCAUGCAUGUAUUCACCUCUCGUCCCCUUCGUCGUCAGUGCCCGUUCUCUGUCUGUGUAUCCGCACAUUCUCGUAUUGGACGAAAAACGCACGUGAAAAGAAAAAAGAGAAACAUGA
rnacentral:misc_RNA from 1 species